ACUGCUGCACUCAGAGAAUUUCAAGUAUUUGCCAAUGAAAAACCCCAUAAAAUGCUACAUCCCAGUCAGACCAGGUGGUUAUCUUUACAGGCAGUGGUAGACAGAAUACUGGAGCACUGGAAUUCUUUACAGCUAUUUUUUCAGAGAGAAGCAUUGGAGAAAAACUUGCCCAGUGCCAAGCAAAUUUUAAAUGCCCUAACAAAUCAUAUGUAUAAAUUGUAUUUAUUAUUUUUAUCAUAUGUUCUCAAAUUAAUUAACACUGUUAAUGUAGAGUUACAGUCAUCCCAGUCAAAAGUUCCCUUGAUGCUUGGUAAAAUCAAAUCACUUUAUAAGACAUUUAUUAAAUGUUUUAUAAAGAAGUAAUUGAAGAUUUUGAAAGAAAGUCGUCUAUAGACAAAAUCAAUGUAACAGAUCCUCACAACUACUUUCCCAUAGAGAGUACUUAUUUUGGAGCUAAAGUGGAUGCUUUGCUUAAGCAAGAUAUUAACAUCCACAUGCAAGAGUUGACUAGUUUCAAGUUAAGAUGUUUGGAAUUUUACACUGAAAUCUGUACUCAAAUAAAAGAGCGUUUUGAUUUCGGUGAUAAAAUUUUAUCAUUUGCUUCAAAUUUUAUUCCUGAAACUGCAUGUGAGGGUAGUAUACGUUCCAUUGCCGAGUUUAUAAAUUUUUUCCCUCAUAUUGAAGUUGAUAUAGAGGCUGCAAAUAUCGAAUGGAAUUUAAUGGUCGAAGCCUCUUUUGAUAAAGAAACAAAAGAAAAUAUUAAUGCAUUCUGGAGGGCAGUGCAAAUUAAGAAAAAUGUAUUAGGUGAACCUAUGUUCCCAAAUUUAAUGAUAAUUGUUCGUGUUAUUAUGUCCUUGCCCCAUUCUUCUGCUGCAGCGGAACGAGUAUUUUCUAGCCUUAAUUUAAUGAAAUCAAAAACUAGAAACUGUCUUGCAGUAAAGACUUGUUCGGCAAUACUUGCAAUUAAUGAUAAGAUGGCAUUGUAUGAAGGAGGGUCCAUUGCUUGGAAACCUGACAAGGCUUUGCUGCAGUACAAAAAAUAAUCAAUUGAAAAUGUACCUUAUAAUGAUGAACCAGAUAUGUGAUAAUUCAGAGUUUUAUUUUUUUUAUUCUUAGGAUCUCAUGUGUACUGUGAUCUAGUUUUAGAAAUUGUUAUUUUUGAAUGUCCUUUAUUUUUGUUUUUACAAUAAAAAAAGUUAUGUUUUUA